GAUUCCUACGGGAGGCAGCAGUGAGGAAUAUUGGUCAAUGGCCGAGAGGCUGAACCAGCCAAGUCGCGUGAGGGAAGACGGCCCUACGGGUUGUAAACCUCUUUUGUCGGGGAGCAAAGCGAACCACGUGUGGUUCAUUGAGAGUACCCGAAGAAAAAGCAUCGGCUAACUCCGUGCCAGCAGCCGCGGUAAUACGGAGGAUGCGAGCGUUAUCCGGAUUUAUUGGGUUUAAAGGGUGCGUAGGCGGAUUUUUAAGUCAGCGGUAAAAUGUCCGGG
rnacentral:rRNA from 1 species